rnacentral:rRNA from 1 species
AUACGUAGGAUCCGAGCGUUAUCCGGAUUUAUUGGGUUUAAAGGGAGCGUAGGUGGAUUGUUAAGUCAGUUGUGAAAGUUUGCGGCUCAACCGUAAAAUUGCAGUUGAAACUGGCAGUCUUGAGUACAGUAGAGGUGGGCGGAAUUCGUGGUGUAGCGGUGAAAUGCUUAGAUAUCACGAAGAACUCCGAUUGCGAAGGCAGCUCACUAGACUGUUACUGACACUGAUGCUCGAAAGUGUGGGUAUCAAACAGGAUUAGAUACCCUGGCAGUCCACACAGUAAACGAUGAAUACUCGCUGUUUGCGAUAUACAGUAAGCGGCCAAGCGAAAGAAUUAAGUAUUCCACCUGGGGAGUACGCCGGAAACGGUGAAACUCAAAUGAAUUGACGGG